AUGCCUGACCACCGUCUACUU
rnacentral:miRNA from 1 species